rnacentral:rRNA from 1 species
UACGAAGGGGGCUAGCGUUGCUCGGAAUCACUGGGCGUAAAGCGCACGUAGGCGGACUCUUAAGUCGGGGGUGAAAUCCUGGAGCUCAACUCCAGAACUGCCUUCGAUACUGGGAGUCUUGAGUUCGGGAGAGGUGAGUGGAACUGCGAGUGUAGAGGUGAAAUUCGUAGAUAUUCGCAAGAACACCAGUGGCGAAGGCGGCUCACCUGGUCCGGUACUGACGCUGAGGUGCGAAAGCGUGGGGAGCAAACAGG